GGACAAGAGAUAAAAUACAGGAGACGUUAGAAACACUGAAAGCAACCCGAGACAGACACAUUUGAGAUUUACGUCAAUCAAACACAUUGCAUCACAAACGUACCAUGUGAUCUGGUGGGUAGGGUUCUUUACAAUUGUUUGGUUUUAUACAGAUCUCCAUUAGUGACUGAUAUGUCACUAUAAUGGGAAAAUCAAAAAGAGUACCAGCUAGUUUCCUUUUUGAGAAAGGAUCAACCAAAUGUGUCCAGAUAUGUAGCUUGUUUUCUUCAGGACAAACCUGGUGUUUUACACCUUAAAGGUGCAUUACUGGAUCUGUGAUACAAAUAAAACCGUACCUUUCAGUCCGGCCACCAAGUCUUCUAAAUCAGACAGCAGCUCCUCCUCACGACGUGAAGGCACGGCCGCGGCCAGCACCACACAGCACAGGAAAAG